rnacentral:rRNA from 1 species
GAUGAACUCUGGCGGCGUGCCUAAUACAUGCAAGUAGAACGCUGAAGGAGGAGCUUGCUCUUCUGGAUGAGUUGCGAACGGGUGAGUAACGCGUAGGUAACCUGCCUGGUAGCGGGGGAUAACUAUUGGAAACGAUAGCUAAUACCGCAUGACAACAGUUAUUGCAUGAUAACUGUUUAAAAGGGGCAACUGCUCCACUACCAGAUGGACCUGCGUUGUAUUAGCUAGUUGGUGAGGUAACGGCUCACCAAGGCGACGAUACAUAGCCGACCUGAGAGGGUGAGCGGCCACACUGGGACUGAGACACGGCCCAGACUCCUACGGGAGGCAGCAGUAGGGAAUCUUCGGCAAUGGACGGAAGUCUGACCAAGCAACGCCGCGUGAGUGAAGAAGGUUUUCGGAUCGUAAAGCUCUGUUGUAAGAGAAGAACGAGUGUGAGAGUGGAAAGUUCACACUGUGACGGUAUCUUACCAGAAAGGGACGGCUAACUACGUG